AUGCAUCUACAGCCGAAGCGGCAGGGGACUGUUGGGUGGACGAUAAAUCCGGCAAUCGAUCUUCAGUUUCAGGAAGCAUUUAUCACGAUUGAUGUGCACCCGGCUGCAAUUAAAUGGAGUGAUACUGCACGCUGUGUUGAUCAAGGUGGAGGAAAGAGAAAAGGUGCAUUUGCUAUAUAUUUGGAGCCUUGGCAUGCUGAUAUUUAUGAGUUCCUUGAUUUGAGAAAGAACCAUCGGAAGGUAAACAUUCUAGAAGUAAUACGUAAAACACUUUCAGGCAGAGAUACCCGAAACUGA
rnacentral:rRNA from 1 species